GUGUCAGCCGCCGCGGUAAUACGUAGGUGGCAAGCGUUGUCCGGAAUUAUUGGGCGUAAAGGGCUCGCAGGCGGUUCCUUAAGUCUGAUGUGAAAGCCCCCGGCUCAACCGGGGAGGGUCAUUGGAAACUGGGGAACUUGAGUGCAGAAGAGGAGAGUGGAAUUCCACGUGUAGCGGUGAAAUGCGUAGAUAUGUGGAGGAACACCAGUGGCGAAGGCGGCUCUCUGGUCUGUAACUGACGCUGAGGCGCGAAAGCAUGGGUAGCGAACAGGAUUAGAAACCCCUGUAGUCC
rnacentral:rRNA from 1 species